GAUGAACGCUGGCGGCGUGCCUAAUACAUGCAAGUCGAGCGAAUGGAUUAAGAGCUUGCUCUUAUGAAGUUAGCGGCGGACGGGUGAGUAACACGUGGGUAACCUGCCCAUAAGACUGGGAUAACUCCGGGAAACCGGGGCUAAUACCGGAUAACAUUUUGAACCGCAUGGUUCGAAAUUGAAAGGCGGCUUCGGCUGUCACUUAUGGAUGGACCCGCGUCGCUUUAGCUAGUUGGUGAGGUAACGGCGCACCAAGGCAACGAUGCGUAGCCGAGCUGAGAGGGUGAUCGGCCACACUGGGACUGAGACACGGCCCAGACUCCUACGGGAGGCAGCAGUAGGGAAUCUUCCGCAAUGGACGAAAGUCUGACGGAGCAACGCCGCGUGAGUGAUGAAGGCUUUCGGGUCGUAAAACUCUGUUGUUUGGGAAGAACAAGUGCUAGUUGAAUAAGCUGGCACCUUGACGGUACCUAACCAGAAAGCCACGGCUAACUACGUGCCAGCAGCCGCGGUAA
rnacentral:rRNA from 1 species